CCUGGGGCUCUCCUCCUGGGCUGGAGGCUCCACCGCACUGCCAGGCUGCUCCCUCUCCUCUGAGGCUUCGCUAUAGUCGCUGACAUCUACGAGUUCCCGUGUAGACAAGCGGCUCCAUAUGUCUGAGGCCUCUUCACCCUUUUUUUCAGCCUCUUCAAGAAAAGCAGAUUGUCUUUUGGUCUUCUUUGAGGCGGGCUGCAAGACUUCCACCUCAUCCCAUGACACAGCCACACCUCUUUUCAUCUGGACCGGCCUGUAGUAAAUCUCCUUGACGGGUGCCGUUCCCAGAAUUCCAGAAUUCUCAGGAUUCUCCUCAGCCGGAGGCACGUGUGGUGGUCCCAGACCGCAGUCAGACACCGGGAGAAGAGUCCUCUGUCUCGGAGUAUUUCUCCUGCGUGUCGUCUCCAGGAAAGCUUCUAGCUGCUGCUGAGGACGGAGGAGGAGGAGGAGGAAUCCUUCAGUGGCAUCAGUAUAUUCUUCAAACUCAGCCUCUUGAGAUGACUCUACCCGAGGUCUUGGAGGAAAGGCAAGCUUCCUCUGACUCUACCCAAGACCCCUUUCCAC